rnacentral:misc_RNA from 1 species
GUAGGUGAACCUGCGGAAGGAUCAUUAUCACGUUAUCCACGUAUAAACCAUUGUGAACUGUUCUUUAGGAGUUAGGGUUUGUCGAGUCAUCCUUUUUUGGAUGAGGAAACAAAUUUCACAGUUUCCAGACUUCGGUCGGAACUCUGUGCAGUCCGAAUAUGGAGAGAAAAAAUUUCUGACAAAAAGGAAACUGUGAAACUCUUCAAAUCUCACUGUCUAACUCCUGAUCCUAUUAACCAUUUUAACCAAUCUUUAUAAUUUUUGAACCAACUUAUUUCUUACUCUGCGGAGAAGAAAUUCAUUACGAAACAAAGAACAACUCUUAGCAACGGAUAUCUUGGUUCUC